UAAAUGUUACAUGUAUAAUACUGGGUACAUUAGUUUCUAGACGGCCGGACAUUUAUAAAUUUCGGACGUUUCAACUGUUGGUCGUUUUUACCGAGUACCGGCACGUCGCGCAAAGGCUUUGUCGCACACGCAUUUCACGUGCUACGUAUACCUGUGCGUAUACAUUAUUACAUAAACGUCGGGCGUUAUAAACCGAGGCCGAGGGAUUUGCCGUUAACCCCGUUAUUUUUACCGUACGCCGCACGUCGUAACGGCAAGAUAAAUUUGUGUACAGUGCAUGGUGACGGGGUGAGAGGCGCGGGCGGGCGCGAGGCCGGGAUGAAAAAAAAAACGGGCAAAGGAUUUCGCUGCGAAACGGGAUUACACAUCACCUCUACACAUGCGUGCGCAAAGGUUUACCGGAGGUAUUAUAAUAGGUACACGAUGUAUUUAAGUGGAGCACCUACGCACGGGAGUCCUGAGUUCACUUAUCGUCCG